GAUGAACGCUGGCGGCGUGCCUAAUACAUGCAAGUCGAGCGAACAGACGAGGAGCUUGCUCCUCUGACGUUAGCGGCGGACGGGUGAGUAACACGUGGAUAACCUACCUAUAAGACUGGGAUAACUUCGGGAAACCGGAGCUAAUACCGGAUAACAUGUUGAACCGCAUGGUUCAACAGUGAAAGACGGUCUUGCUGUCACUUAUAGAUGGAUCCGCGCCGCAUUAGCUAGUUGGUAAGGUAACGGCUUACCAAGGCAACGAUGCGUAGCCGACCUGAGAGGGUGAUCGGCCACACUGGAACUGAGACACGGUCCAGACUCCUACGGGAGGCAGCAGUAGGGAAUCUUCCGCAAAGGGCGAAAGCCUGACGGAGCAACGCCGCGUGAGUGUAGAAGGUCUUCGGAUCGUAAAACUCUGUUAUUAGGGAAGAACAAAUGUGUAAGUAACUAUGCACGUCUUGACGGUACCUAAUCAGAAAGCCACGGCUAACUACGUG
rnacentral:rRNA from 1 species